UUUAAAGAGAGUUUGAUCCUGGCUCAGGACGAACGCUGGCGGCGUGCCUAAUACAUGCAAGUCGAACGAACGGAGGAAGAGCUUGCUCUUCCAAUGUUAGUGGCGGACGGGUGAGUAACACGUGGGCAACCUGCCUGUAAGUUGGGGAUAACUCCGGGAAACCGGGGCUAAUACCGAAUGAUAAAGUGUGGCGCAUGCCACGCUUUUGAAAGAUGGUUUCGGCUAUCGCUUACAGAUGGGCCCGCGGUGCAUUAGCUAGUUGGUAGGGUAAUGGCCUACCAAGGCAACGAUGCAUAGCCGACCUGAGAGGGUGAUCGGCCACACUGGGACUGAGA
rnacentral:rRNA from 1 species